rnacentral:tRNA from 1 species
AGCUUUAUAUUCAUUUAAUGAUGAUAGAAUGCAAUUCUAUAGGAGUAGUGAACAAAUUUAUACUACUAAGGCUU